rnacentral:pre_miRNA from 1 species
UGUAAACAUCCCCGACUGGAAGCUGUUAAACAUCAGCAGAGCUUUCAGUCUGAUGUUUGCA